UCCUUUUUCCUCUCCUCCAUGGAAUGGAGCUCAGGAAAUGACGCAAUGGUAUACGCACGGGCUGUUUGGGUGGAGAAUGGGCAGCAGAUGGAAGGAGUUUUGCCAUUGAACUGGAUUGACACAGAGACCAAAGUGGUGCGAUGGCCUCUAAAAAAAGUGUCUGUGGCACAUAAGCGCCUUUUACAACCACAGGAGGACUGGCUGAGCUUUGAAUUUGUUAAAGUGAAAGUGACAUCAGUAAGCCGACAGGAGUAUGAAAAAUAUGAUUACACCUCAGCUCAAACCGAAGAGGACACAGUCAGUCAAAAGAGAAUGAAGAAAAGAAGGACAUUUGAAGAUUAUGUUCAAGGGUCAGAUUUGUCUGCUGAGGAGGAUGAGUCCUUGCCAGACAAGAAAAAGGAAGAUACAGUGGUGCUUCCAGUUCCUCCGCCAAAGAUUAAGCUCUCACAUAGGGGACAAAAUGCAAUGCUGCUCCAGUUACCUGCACCCCCAGAACUGACUAACACCGCCAUUAUACAACCAGAUAGUCCUUCAUCUUCAGACAUUUCUGGAUGUUCUCGUCCAGUGCUUCACCGUUCACCCACAAGGUCUAAAUCAUCAGAAGCAUUUAGUCCAGUGACAGCCAAUGCCGCUACAUGGAACAGAGGUCAAAACACACUUAUGAGACAGUUGAAUGUCUUAAUUGCAACCUGGGAUUACCGUAACUACACAUGGAAUAAACCGUUUUCUUCAUAGUUGGCAUUUUGGGUCUAUGUUUUUCUUCAGGAUGCAGGCAUUCUCACACACCUCAGCGUGGAGUUGGAAUGCCAUCACAGUCCAGGAGCAGAGCAGGUCGGGCAUCCUCAUCCAGUGAGUCCAUGAUCAGCUGCAUUCUUCAUAGUUGGCAAUUGUCCUACCUCACUUACUGACAUUAUUGCAGAGCAGCUGUCUUUACAAACUAUUUCAAUGAGCUUCAACGCUGUUUUUGUUAUUUUUCUUCAGGAUCCAGGCGUUCUCGCACACCUCAGCGUGGAGUUGGAAUGCCAUCACAGUCCAGGAGCAGAAGCUUAUUCCCCAUGUCUCAAGCUAGUACAUCCAUGGUCAAUAUUUAUUAUUGUAUCAUUCUUUAAUAAUAAUAAUAAAGUAAGAUUUAUAAAGUACUUGACACAAAAAUAAAUUAAUCUAUUUUCUUCCACAGAAUACCAGAAGUCAGUGCUUGGAAAGCUAGUUGAACUUCUUGAGAUAAAAAGAGUCGGGAGGCACCAUGAGCCCCUGAAUUCUGCUGUCCAUGUUGCUAGGCUAGAAACCCAAGAACAGUUUGCUGAAGAAGAGGCACGUCUCAAGGACCGCAAUCUCUGGGAACAAAGGGUGUCCCAGCUUUCAAAGGUGGGAGGGAGGAACAAUAAAGACUGCGUCCAUAAAGUGAUGGACAGGCUCUUCACCAACAGCCUAAUUGCUUCUUUCAACAUGAAGGGGCGGGGUACGAGUGUCAAAAAAGCCUUCCAGGACACCAUUUUUUACUCUGUGGUAAAAGCUGCAGUAAUGCAGUGGAGUAAAACUGCCACAGAAGUCGAAAUCAGGGCUGCCAUGGCUGAGACACUUAAACAUGCUCCCGGGAGAGCUGGAGGUGGAGGUCGCAAAGGAAUUUAGAAUUGCAUGUGAACAUUUGUAUUAUAAAUCUUAUUUUCUGAUCAAAGUUAUGUGGUCAUAUUAUGAUUUUUGGC